rnacentral:tRNA from 1 species
GGUGUUGUAUUUUAAUAAAAAAAUUAACUUUGCACGUUAAAAUUGGUUUACACCCAACACCU